AAAUUGAAGAGUUUGAUCAUGGCUCAGAUUGAACGCUGGCGGCAGGCCUAACACAUGCAAGUCGAACGGUAACAGGAAGCAGCUUGCUGCUUCGCUGACGAGUGGCGGACGGGUGAGUAAUGUCUGGGAAACUGCCUGAUGGAGGGGGAUAACUACUGGAAACGGUAGCUAAUACCGCAUAACGUCGCAAGACCAAAGAGGGGGACCUUCGGGCCUCUUGCCAUCGGAUGUGCCCAGAUGGGAUUAGCUUGUUGGUGGGGUAACGGCUCACCAAGGCGACGAUCCCUAGCUGGUCUGAGAGGAUGACCAGCCACACUGGAACUGAGACACGGUCCAGACUCCUACGGGAGGCAGCAGUGGGGAAUAUUGCACAAUGGGCGCAAGCCUGAUGCAGCCAUGCCGCGUGUAUGAAGAAGGCCUUCGGGUUGUAAAGUACUUUCAGCGGGGAGGAAGGGAGUAAAGUUAAUACCUUUGCUCAUUGACGUUACCCGCAGAAGAAGCACCGGCUAACUCCGUGCCAGCAGCCGCGGUAAUACGGAGGGUGCAAGCGUUAAUCG
rnacentral:rRNA from 1 species